GACGGAGGGUGCAAGCGUUGUUCGGAAUCACUGGGCGUAAAGCGCGUGUCGGCGGUUGAAUAAGUCGGAUGUGAAAGCCCGGAGCUUAACUCCGGAAGUGCAUUCGAAACUGUUCGGCUCGAGUACGGGAGAGGGAAGUGGAAUUCCUGGUGUAGAGGUGAAAUUCGUAGAUAUCAGGAGGAACACCGGUGGCGAAGGCGGCUUCCUGGACCGAUACUGACGCUGAGACGCGAAAGCGUGGGGAGCAAACAGG
rnacentral:rRNA from 1 species